UGCAGCAGCUGCAGUUUGGUGUCUGCAGUGCGCUCAGACAGGUGUGCCACCAAAAAUGCCUUUAAAAAGAGUAAACUAGGCCGUUCUAAUGUCAGAUUUGUCGGAGGUGAAAC